GAUGAACGCUGGCGGUGUGCCUAAUACAUGCAAGUCGAGCGAACGGACGAGAAGCUUGCUUCUCUGAUGUUAGCGGCGGACGGGUGAGUAACACGUGGAUAACCUACCUAUAAGACUGGGAUAACUUCGGGAAACCGUAGCUAAUACCGGAUAAUAUUUUGAACCGCAUGGUUCAAAAGUGAAAGACGGUCUUGCUGUCACUUAUAGAUGGAUCCGCGCUGCAUUAGCUAGUUGGUAAGGUAACGGCUUACCAAGGCAACGAUGCAUAGCCGACCUGAGAGGGUGAUCGGCCACACUGGAACUGAGACACGGUCCAGACUCCUACGGGAGGCAGCAGUAGGGAAUCUUCCGCAACGGGCGAAAGCCUGACGGAGCAACGCCGCGUGAGUGAUGAAGGUCUUCGGAUCGUAAAACUCUGUUAUUAGGGAAGAACAUAUGUGUAAGUAACUGUGCACAUCUUGACGGUACCUAAUCAGAAAGCCACGGCUAACUACGUG
rnacentral:rRNA from 1 species